rnacentral:rRNA from 1 species
UACGAAGGGGGCUAGCGUUGCUCGGAAUUACUGGGCGUAAAGCGCACGUAGGCGGCUUUCUAAGUCGGGGGUGAAAUCCUGGAGCUCAACUCCAGAACUGCCUUCGAUACUGGAAAGCUCGAGUCCGGGAGAGGUGAGUGGAACUGCGAGUGUAGAGGUGAAAUUCGUAGAUAUUCGCAAGAACACCAGUGGCGAAGGCGGGUCUCUGGGCCGAUACUGACGCUGAGGAGCGAAAGCGUGGGGAGCGAACAGG